rnacentral:rRNA from 1 species
AUUGAACGCUGGCUGCAGGCCUAACACAUGCAAGUCGAGCGGUAGCACAGAGAGCUUGCUCUCGGGUGACGAGCGGCGGACGGGUGAGUAAUGUCUGGGAAACUGCCUGAUGGAGGGGGAUAACUACUGGAAACGGUAGCUAAUACCGCAUAACGUCGCAAGACCAAAGUGGGGGACCUUCGGGCCUCAUGCCAUCAGAUGUGCCCAGAUGGGAUUAGCUAGUAGGUGGGGUAAUGGCUCACCUAGGCGACGAUCCCUAGCUGGUCUGAGAGGAUGACCAGCCACACUGGAACUGAGACACGGUCCAGACUCCUACGGGAGGCAGCAGUGGGGAAUAUUGCACAAUGGGCGCAAGCCUGAUGCAGCCAUGCCGCGUGUGUGAAGAAGGCCUUCGGGUUGUAAAGCACUUUCAGCGGGGAGGAAGGCGUUAAGGUUAAUAACCUUGGCGAUUGACGUUACCCGCAGAAGAAGCACCGGCUAACUCCGUGCCAGCAGCCGCGGUAAUACGGAGGGUGCAAGCGUUAAUCGGAAUUACUGGGCGUAAAGCGCACGCAGGCGGUCUGUCAAGUCGGAUGUGAAAUCCCCGGGCUCAACCUGGGAACUGCAUUCGAAACUGGCAGGCUAGAGUCUUGUAGAGGGGGGUAGAAUUCCAGGUGUAGCGGUGAAAUGCGUAGAGAUCUGGAGGAAUACCGGUGGCGAAGGCGGCCCCCUGGACAAAGACUGACGCUCAGGUGCGAAAGCGUGGGGAGCAAACAGGAUUAGAUACCCUGGUAGUCCACGCCGUAAACGAUGUCGAUUUGGAGGUUGUGCCCUUGAGGCGUGGCUUCCGGAGCUAACGCGUUAAAUCGACCGCCUGGGGAGUACGGCCGCAAGGUUAAAACUCAAAUGAAUUGACGGGGGCCCGCACAAGCGGUGGAGCAUGUGGUUUAAUUCGAUGCAACGCGAAGAACCUUACCUGGUCUUGACAUCCACAGAACUUUCCAGAGAUGGAUUGGUGCCUUCGGGAACUGUGAGACAGGUGCUGCAUGGCUGUCGUCAGCUCGUGUUGUGAAAUGUUGGGUUAAGUCCCGCAACGAGCGCAACCCUUAUCCUUUGUUGCCAGCGGUUAGGCCGGGAACUCAAAGGAGACUGCCAGUGAUAAACUGGAGGAAGGUGGGGAUGACGUCAAGUCAUCAUGGCCCUUACGACCAGGGCUACACACGUGCUACAAUGGCAUAUACAAAGAGAAGCGACCUCGCGAGAGCAAGCGGACCUCAUAAAGUAUGUCGUAGUCCGGAUUGGAGUCUGCAACUCGACUCCAUGAAGUCGGAAUCGCUAGUAAUCGUAGAUCAGAAUGCUACGGUGAAUACGUUCCCAGGCCU